GACGAACGCUGGCGGCGUGCCUAAUACAUGCAAGUAGAACGCUGAAGGAAGGAGCUUGCUCUUUCCGGAUGAGUUGCGAACGGGUGAGUAACGCGUAGGUAACCUGCCUGGUAGCGGGGGAUAACUAUUGGAAACGAUAGCUAAUACCGCAUAACAGUAGAUGUUGCAUGAUAUCUACUUAAAAGGUGCAAUUGCACCACUACCAGAUGGACCUGCGUUGUAUUAGCUAGUUGGUGAGGUAACGGCCCACCAAGGCGACGGUACAUAGCCGACCUGAGAGGGUGAUCGGCCACACUGGGACUGAGACACGGCCCAGACUCCUACGGGAGGCAGCAGGAGGGAAUCUUCGGAAAUGGACGGAAGUCUGACCGAGCAACGCCGCGUGAGUGAAGAAGGGUUUCGGAUCGUAAAGCUCUGUUGUAAGAGAAGAACGAGUGUGAGAGUGGAAAGUUCACGCUGUGACGGUACCUAACCAGAAAGCGACGGCUAACUACGUG
rnacentral:rRNA from 1 species